UGGGGAAUAUUGGACAAUGGGGGCAACCCUGAUCCAGCCAUGCCGCGUGAGUGAAGAAGGCCUUAGGGUUGUAAAACUCUUUCACCAGGGACGAUAAUGACGGUACCUGGAGAAGAAGCCCCGGCUAACUCCGUGCCAGCAGCCGCGGUAAUACGGAGGGGGCUAGCGUUGUUCGGAAUCACUGGGCGUAAAGCGCGCGUAGGCGGCUUGGAAAGUCAGAGGUGAAAGCCCGGGGCUCAACUCCGGAAUUGCCUUUGAAACUUCCUCGCUUGAGAUCGGGAGAGGUGAGUGGAAUUCCUAGUGGAGAGGUGAAAUUCGCAGAUAUUAGGAAGAACACCGGUGGCGAAGGCGGCUCACUGGCCCGCAUCUGACGCUGAGGCGCGAAAGCGUGGGGAGCAAACAGGAUUAGAUACCCCCGUAGUCC
rnacentral:rRNA from 1 species